rnacentral:rRNA from 1 species
CCUACGGGAGGCUGCAGUAGGGAAUCUUCCACAAUGGGCGAAAGCCUGAUGGAGCAACGCCGCGUGGGUGAAGAAGGUCUUCGGAUCGUAAAACCCUGUUGUUAGAGAAGAAAGUGCGUGAGAGUAACUGUUCACGUUUCGACGGUAUCUAACCAGAAAGCCACGGCUAACUACGUGCCAGCAGCCGCGGUAAUACGUAGGUGGCAAGCGUUUUCCGGAUUUUUUGGGCGUAAAGGGAACGCAGGCGGUCUUUUAAGUCUGAUGUGAAAGCCUUCGGCUUAACCGGAGUAGUGCAUUGGAAACUGGGAGACUUGAGGGCAGAAGAGGAGAAUGGAACUCCAUGUGUAGCGGUGAAAUGCGUAGAUAUAUGGAAGAACACCAGUGGCGAAAGCGGCUCUCUGGUCUGUAACUGACGCUGAGGUUCGAAAGCGUGGGUAGCAAACAGGAUUAGAUACCCCUGUAGUC